CACUGGGCCUAACGAGCAAAAUUCAAGGAAUGUGUGCACGUUUGAAAUUUUAGUCGGGUUUGUUUAUUGCAGGCCUUUGUAUCAUUGCUGCCAUUUUUGAAAUAAUGGUAGUGUUGGUGAUCCAGUUAGGGGAAAACAAUGAAGCAUGUUAUAGAAAUGAUGCAGGGAGGGAUGGUGGGAAAAUGGUAAAUUAUUUUUGCUCAUUAAUGGAAAACGUUGUCGUUUUCAAAACCCAACCAGUUCCCUAAUGUUUUGGUGACAACCCACCCGUGGAGUUUCGGAGGCUGGCCUCACCCCUCAUCGUCUCUCUUCUCUGUGUGUGCCUUUGCUGACACUGUCUCCCUGAGGCUGCGUCACCUCAAUCACGGUAGUUUUCGGUGUCGCAUGCAACCCGUGUCGGCGUCGACAGAUUGCUUAGUUCUUACCCGGGGACACACCGUUUUUUAGUGAAGGUCGUCGCUCACCGUUGCCGCGUGAAGCUCGCCGCGGUAGGGCGUGACGGUCUGAAGGUCAUUUGCUGCCUUCCUGCUAUCGCUUUCCCGGCAGCUGCAGUAGACAAAACCAGCAACGGGUCCGUGGGGUGGUGGUCGUUGUUGUCAUUUUGCUUCUCCCAUCAAUUUAGUAUCUCAUCUACCUUUGCCGUCAGUAGCUUUCUGGGCAAUUGGCAUUUGGAGGCUGUGAGGUUGUGGCAAGUGGCUUGGAUUGCGUACAAUUUGGGAAACGAAGGGUGUCUGAGCCAAAAAUUUGGAAUAUAUUUUCAUUGAUCACGGGAUAUGGUGGUAGAAGACAGCAAAGAUAAUAAUGGCAUCAACCAGCAAGUUUGGCGAGGAGCCGCAUAUGUGGAAUGAACUAGUUGGGGAUUACUGGAUGGAUGGAGACAAUGUUUGAUACGGGAGUGGAGGCAGACCCUGACUUAUCCGACUGGGAAUGCAGUGGGGUGAUAAACCGCUAUUUUAUGGUUUAUCUUAUGCUCAAUUGAGUGGAUUUUAUCAACUCUUUACCCACUUAUUCAUACUAUUUGCAUGGUUUUACAUUUGCCUUCCUAAUUAUGUGCUUUGAUUGAAAACAUGCUUCUUUGACCUUAAGUUCCCUAUGUUUAAUCCUCUCUUAUUACCAUUAGAUGCCUUGAUAUGUGUGUUAAUUGAUUUCAGAGAUUACAGGACAGGAAUGGCUCAGAGGAUGGAAAGGAAGCAUGCAAAAGUGGAAGGAAUACAAGAAGUUGGAGAAAUUGCUAAGUUGUCCAGCCUGACCUCUUCGCACUCAAACGGCUAUAACUUUAGCUACAGAAGUCCAAAUGACGCGGUUCUAGUUGCGUUGGAAAACUAACGUCCGGGGCUUCGAUUUGAUAUAUAAUAUGCC